rnacentral:rRNA from 1 species
UACAGAGGGUGCAAGCGUUGUUCGGAAUUAUUGGGCGUAAAGGGCGCGUAGGCGGUGCCACAAGUCACCUGUGAAAUCUCCGGGCUUAACUCGGAGCCUGCAGGCGAAACUGUGGUGCUGGAGUGUGGGGAGAGGAUCGCGGAAUUCCCGGUGUAGAGGUGAAAUUCGUAGAUAUCGGGAGGAACACCUGUGGCGAAAGCGGCGCACUGGACCAUAACUGACGCUGAUGCGCGAAAGCUAGGGGAGCAAACAGG